rnacentral:rRNA from 1 species
AACGAACGCUGGCGGCGUGCCUAACACAUGCAAGUCGAGCGAGAAAGUUCCUUCGGGAGCGAGUACAGCGGCGCACGGGUGAGUAACACGUAGGUAACCUACCCUGUAGUCUGGAAUAACUGGAGGAAACUCUAGCUAAUACCGGAUAAGACCACGGUUUUUUCGGAAGCUGUGGCCAAAGACAGCCUCUGCUUGCAAGCAGUUGCUACGGGAUGGGCCUGCGGGCCAUUAGCUUGGUGGUGAGGUAACGGCUCACCAAGGCCGUGAUGGCUAGCUGGUCUGAGAGGAUGACCAGCCACACUGGGACUGAGACACGGCCCAGACUCCUACGGGAGGCAGCAGUGGGGAAUAUUGCGCAAUGGGCGAAAGCCUGACGCAGCGACGCCGCGUGGGUGAUGAAGGCCUUCGGGUCGUAAAGCCCUGUCGCAGGGGAAGAACAAGCGGCUGGUUAAUAGCCAGUCGCCUUGACGGUACCCUGCAAGAAAGCACCGGCUAACUCCGUGCCAGCAGCCGCGGUAACAC